CCUACGGGUGGCAGCAGUGAGGAAUAUUGGUCAAUGGGCGCAAGCCUGAACCAGCCAAGUCGCGUGAGGGAUGACGGUCCUAUGGAUUGUAAACCUCUUUUGUCGGGGAGCAAGGCCCGCCACGUGUGGCGGGAAGGAGAGUACCCGAAGAAAAAGCAUCGGCAAACUCCGUGCCAGCAGCCGCGGUAAUACGGAGGAUGCGAGCGUUAUUCGGAUUGAUUGGGUUAAAAGGGUGCGUAGGCGGAAGGUUAAGUCAGCGGUAAAAUGUCGGUGUUCAACACCGGCCUGCCGUUGAAACUGGUCUUCUUGAGUGAGCGAGAGGUAUGCGGAAUGCGUGGUGUAGCGGUGAAAUGCGUAGAUAUCACGCAGAACACCAGUGGCGAAGGCAGCAUACCGGCGCUCAACUGACGCUGAGGCACGAAAGCGUGGGGAGCGAACAGGAUUAGAUACCCGAGUAGUC
rnacentral:rRNA from 1 species